ACCAAUUCUUCCUUGUCUGUGAGCUGCAGCAGUGAAAAGAACCAUCACUUGUUCACAAUUCUGAAAAAAAAAACAACAGAAGAAGAAGAAGAACAAGAAGAAGAAGAAGAAGAAGAAGAAGAAGAAGCUUACUUUAAGACCUCUUCUAAGGAUUAGAGUCUGUGUGGCAAAGAUGAGGUAGGCGAGGAGAAGACAGCCUAACACACCUUCUACCCAUCAGCUGGAAACACAAUGCCAAAGACAGGGACCACAUUAUGUCUGGAACUGCAUGACGUACAAAAGGAAAGUGUGAGACUGAAGAACACUAGCUGCAUCUGUGUAACUAUAACAUUAAAUGGAGAAUAUAUUAUAUUGGUUCUCAGGUGCUGCAUUUGUUUCUUAUUUGCUUUUAAAAGUGAUUCAAGGUGCUGACAUUGGCUUGA
rnacentral:lncRNA from 1 species